UGGAACAAAAUUCCUGCCACCCCUGUUGUCUUACUUGCUUAAUUACUAACUUUUUAACAGCUUGAACUCUUUUAAAAUUUAUGUAAUUAUCGAGAGUUGGAUUUUGUUUAAACCUAAGGUAAGCCGCUUUACUAUCAUUGACAGCUGUCGCACACCUGUUAUUCCACCAAGGUACUGCAAUAUGUUUGUGCCUCUUUGAAGUAUUUGCACCGCUAUUUGAUAAGUUCCUACGUGGAACGGAACGUUCCACAGCUGUCAAAAUAAUUUUACAGAACCUAUUGUAAUUGUUUAAGGGUUCAUUGACAUCAUACUCGAAAUCCAAAAGUAAUCGAUUAACAGUUUCAGAAUAAAGAUCCCAAUUAACGAGACGUAGGUUUAUACGAUUUAACAAAAGUUUAUUAACUUCAUCUAUAGGAGCAUGUUGUUCACCUGACGGAGUUGAUGAAGAGUUCUUUGUGUUUAUUUUAGUAAAAGUCGGCAGAUGCUGCAACGCUCAGAAUUCUUACAGAAUUUAGCUAAAUGUCCAUACCUCAAGCACCGGUAGCAUUGUUUAACUGGUGGUAUAUAUGGAGUGACAUUGUGGCGCCAACCUCCAAUAUCCAGAUAUUCAGGUAAUACAGAUGCAGCAAAAGUAAUUGUCACGGUUAGAGUUGGCUGUAACACAUAUCCAUGAGUCAAGAUUCUGAGUCAGUAGAAGUAUCUUCCGAAUAUAUAUCCUUGUCAUUACAAGGUUCAUGGUCUACAUCACCUGAAUCGUCAUCUUUUUUUUUUCCUUUUUCUACAACUGCGCUUCCCCAUGAAUGCUAAUUAUAUUACUG